UACAGAGGGUGCAAGCGUUGUUCGGAGUUAUUGGGCGUAAAGCGCGUGUAGGCGGCUUUGCAAGUCGGGUGUGAAAUCCCUCAGCUUAACUGAGGAAGUGCGCCCGAAACUGCCGAGCUUGAAUACCGGAGAGGAUGGCGGAAUUCCCCAAGUAGAGGUGAAAUUCGUAGAUAUCGGGAGGAACACCGGUGGCGAAGGCGGGUCUCUGGGCCGAUACUGACGCUGAGGAGCGAAAGCAUGGGUAGCGAACAGG
rnacentral:rRNA from 1 species